CCAUUUGGAAGCCAUAGGUUGAAUAGACUCCUGUUACUCCUCUUCAUCCAUGGGUUAUGCACUUGCAAAGAUACAACCGUUGGUCCAUUAUUACCUAUUAUUUAACCAUCUUGAAUCAUUCCGCUCAGGAAGGAGGACAUGAAUCUUUCAAUUGCUUUUACUCCUAAAAUUCAAUUACCUUACAUGUAGCAUUGCUCUGGCUGAGAUGAUUAUUGCCUGAAAUGGCUUAUCUUGGGGUACCUUUCAGCUUCCAAUGUUUCAAAUGGUAUCCUGGGUGUGUCAGGAAUUUUGACACCAUUAAUAAUUAUCUAAAAAACAAAAGAAAAAAUUGGAAUCCCAUAUGCCAUCUUGAUGUUCUGAUGGCCGUCUUGACAUUUUUCUUCUGGGCUCUCCAAUCAUUAUGUGAAGAGGGGGGCAAGAUGUUUGGCGUUUUGGAUGUCCCAAAUGCCAUUGCGGACUCUGUCCCAACACCCCAUGAAACUAAUGCGGCCAGGAGAUAGCCCUUGAGAGAAAUAAGGUGACCAACUUGACAUCCUUAAAAGUGCAAAAUUUUGCACCAUCUUAUUCUGCUUGAAAUUUAUUUAUUUUGUCUCGUUGUCACCACAGAUUUACUUUAGGUUGGUGUUGCAUUUUAUUGUUGUGCUGACACUUUUACGUCAAAGUUUGUCUUCACUUCUGCCAUUAUCUUAUCCAUUAGCAUCACACAUUAUCUCCAUGUUUGUUUCAUGGAGAGUAUAAGAAUGGAACGUUUUUCUCUGCCUCUUUAUUGGUUGGUUGGGUGACAUAAACAGCUUGAUCACAACUAAGAUGCCCAACAACAAUGGAGCAUCCUUAGUGGGAGAUAAAGAAUGGGUUUGUGUUUUUCAAGAAGGCAAAGGAUUCUGCCCCUAGCAAGGAAAUACCAUCGCUGCAGCUUAUCAAUCAAACACUCUGUUAUGCCAGAGAACUGGAGCGGAUAGUAUGAAAGUUAUUGAGUCCAUGGUAUACUAUGCUCCCUUCAGAGAACAACCUAUAACAAUAUUUAAGCCCCUGUCACCGAUGGAAGUUUAUCAUAUUUUUCAUGCUUUGCUUUUAUUUCAAUUGUAUUUGGAGUUGCUUGACUAUAAAGCUUAAGAUGAUCAAAAGAGGGAAAACUGUUGGAUUGACAGUUACACUCUAAUUGAUUACUUCAACUUGCAUUCCUAAUCUUUCCAGCUCUCUUUUCUCUCUCAAUA